UUCAUCCUUUUGUUGGUUGAUAUAGUCUUCUUGUUGGCUGAUAUAUUCUUUUUGUUGGCUGAUAUAUUACUUGUAUUACCUGAUGUACAGAGUAUAUACAAGUACAAAGUAUUUUUAUUUCAUUCUUUCUCCUCUUUCCUCCCUUCUUCUCUUUCUUUUUCUCUCAUGUUAGCAGAUUCACAAUCACGCCACCCCUCACUCCCUCUCCUUCUUCUUCGUUCCUUACUUCCCUUUCCUCCUCAGAUCAGUCCGGCCACCGAUCCUCGCUACGCCGUUCACCAAACCCAGGCCACCGCACCCACAAACCACCGAAUCCAGGCCACCGCACCCACCACUAGCGAACUCCACAGCGAAUCGCACCACCACCGGCAAACUCCACCAGCGAAUCGCACUUCCACCGCCACCUGCACCAGCGAAUCGCACCUCCCCUGCGAUCUUGAAUCAGAGGAUGCUCGUUGUCGCCAAAGAAUUUAUUCUUCAUCUCCUCCGUCGUCGUCCUUGUCUCUAACAAUUGGUGGAACUUGGAAGAAUGUGAGUUGCCGCACAAACUAUUGGGUGAAAGGCAUCCACACCCAAUAGUUUGUGAAUUCUUAUUCCCUCUUCCCUUUUUAAUUAUAUCGGUUUCGCAUAUUGUUAGUGCCUGUGGCUGCCGAUGCAGAUUCCCCCCACUUUUUGCAGCUCAUUUAGACGCCACUGCUCAGCCAUGCAUGUAAAGGAGCAAUAUCUUCAAUUAGUCCUUUUCCUUACAAAUAUAAAUAUAUACUAGAGGUGGAGCGAAGUUUAAUUUGGAUAGUGACAAUGACUAUACAAAGAUUUAUUAAGAUUCUUUUGACAUACAAUUGUACUGUUUACUGUAAUAAUCAGGAGUCGGAAAGGGGCGUGGGCUGGGGGGCGCGUGGCAUACUUAAACCCCUUAAAGGUUCUUCGUAUUAUAUAUGUAUGCCUUUUAAACGGUAAAAACAUAGACUUGAGAGUAACAUUUAAUUGCUUUUGAUAGAAAUAUAGAGCAUUGUUUGCUGAAAGGAUCAGUAGAGAUCGCCGGGGAAAAGAAAAGUGGAAAAUAAAGUCCAAGGAUGAUUAUAAUGGAAUUACUGGUUAGGGACCAAUGGAAGAAAAUCGCCUAUAAAGGUGGGAUUAUUAGAUAAUAAUCAAAAGGUGAGAUUAUUAAUGGCGAACCGGCCAAAGGUGAGAUUAUUAGAAUCAAUUUUUCCUAAAAACAAUUGGCAGUGUUACAUUAUAACUCUUAAGUCUGAUCUAUACCAUUUUUUAUAUUUUAUUGAAGAAACUAUAAUUUACGCGAAGAAAUUA